rnacentral:rRNA from 1 species
CCAUGCCGCGUGCAGGAUGACGGUCCUAUGGAUUGUAAACUGCUUUUGCACAGGAAGAAACACUCGGUCGUGACCGAGCUUGACGGUACUGUGAGAAUAAGGAUCGGCUAACUCCGUGCCAGCAGCCGCGGUAAUACGGAGGAUCCAAGCGUUAUCCGGAAUCAUUGGGUUUAAAGGGUCCGUAGGCGGUUUAGUAAGUCGGUGGUGAAAGCCCAUCGCUCAACGGUGGAACGGCCACUGAUACUGCUAGACUUGAAUUAUUAGGAAGUAACUAGAAUAUGUAGUGUAGCGGUGAAAUGCUUAGAGAUUACAUGGAAUACCAAUUGCGAAGGCAGGUUACUACUAAUGGAUUGACGCUGAUGGACGAAAGCGUGGGUAGCGAACAGGAUUAGAUACCCUGGUAGUCCACGCCGUAAACGAUGGAUACUAGCUGUUGGGUGCAAACUCAGUGGCUAAGCGAAAGUGAUAAGUAUCCCACCUGGGGAGUACGUUCGCAAGAAUGAAACACAAAGGAAUUGACGGGGGCCCGCACAAGCGGUGGAGCAUGUGGUUUAAUUCGAUGAUACGCGAGGAACCUUACCAAGGCUUAAAUGUAGAUUGACCGGUUUGGAAACAGAUCUUUCGCAAGACAAUUUACAAGGUGCUGCAUGGUUGUCGUCAGCUCGUGCCGUGAGGUGUCAGGUUAAGUCCUAUAACGAGCGCAACCCCUGUUGUUAGUUGCCAGCGAGUCAUGUCGGGAACUCUAACGAGACUGCCAGUGCAAACUGUGAGGAAGGUGGGGGAUGACGUCAAAUCAUCACGGGCCCUUACGC